GGCGAGCACCUUGUGGCUCCAUCCUGCAGAGGACAGUGGGGUCUUAGAGGAAGAGCUUUUCUGAGAAGUUGACGUUUUCUUGUCAUCAGGCACUUGGAGUCAGGCGAGGUUUUUAUUCAUAAUCCUCAUACACGGAACCAGCAUGUCAGUGCAUCCAGGGUCUUCCAGAGCCCCCUGGAAUCUGAUGUUUCUCUUCUCAACAUUAACCAGGCAGUCAGCUGUCUGACUGCAGGCGUAUUGAACCCUGAGCUUGGCUAUGAUGCCCUUUUAGUGGGGACACAGACUAAUCUUUUGGCUUAUGAUGUCUACAAUAAUUCGGAUUUGUUCUACAGAGAGGUAGCAGAUGGGGCAAAUGCAAUUGUGCUGGGGACAUUGGGAGACAUUUCUUCCCCUCUUGCGAUUAUUGGUGGCAAUUGUGCUCUGCAAGGUUUCAAUCAUGAAGGAAGUGAUCUCUUUUGGACGGUUACUGGAGACAAUGUUAAUUCCUUGGCCUUGUGUGACUUUGAUGGUGAUGGAAAGAAAGAGCUUCUUGUUGGAUCUGAGGAUUUUGAUAUCCGAGUUUUUAAGGAAGAUGAGAU
rnacentral:sRNA from 1 species